rnacentral:rRNA from 1 species
CGGCGUGCCUAAUACAUGCAAGUCGAACGCAUUGUGGUUGAAAUGAUAUGAAGAACUUGUUCAGAUUUGAUUUUAAACAUUGCAAUGAGUGGCGAACGGGUGAGUAACACGUGGGAAACCUACCUCUUAGCAGGGGAUAACAUUUGGAAACAAUGCUAAUACCGUAUAAUAAUUAAAACCGCAUGGUUUUAGUUUAAAAGAUGGUCUUGCUAUCACUAAGAGAUGGUCCCGCGGUGUAUUAGUUAGUUGGUGAGGUAAUGGCUCACCAAGACAAUGAUACAUAGCCGAGUUGAGAGACUGACCGGCCACAAUGGGACUGAGACACGGCCCAUACUCCUACGGGAGGCAGCAGUAGGGAAUCUUCCACAAUGGACGAAAGUCUGAUGAAGCAACGCCGCGUGUGUGAUGAAGGGUUUCGGCUCGUAAAACACUGUUGUAAGAGAAGAAUGACAUUGAGAGUAACUGUUCAAUGUGUGACGGUAUCUUACCAGAAAGGAACGGCUAAAUACGUG